rnacentral:rRNA from 1 species
ACCGGUUGAUCCUGCCGGACCCGACCGCUAUCGGGGUGGGGCUUAGCCAUGCGAGUCGAGCGCCCCAGGGACCCGCUGGGGCGCGGCGCACGGCUCAGUAACACGUGGCCAACCUACCCUCGGGAGGGGGACAACCCCGGGAAACUGGGGCUAAUCCCCCACAGGGGAGGGGUGCUGGAAGGCCCCCUCCCCCAAAGGAACCACGCCCGGCACCCGGCGUGGUUCGCCCGAGGAUGGGGCUACGGCCCAUCAUGGUAGUUGGCGGGGUAACGGCCCGCCAAGCCGAAGACGGGUGGGGGCCGUGAGAGCGGGAGCCCCGAGAUGGGCACUGAGACAAGGGCCCAGGCCCUAUGGGGUGCAGCAGGCUCGAAUACUCCGCAAAUAGGGCUGGUGGGUAACUCCGCCAGCCCUAGCGGAAUGCGGGAAACCGCGACGGGGCCACCCCGAGUGCCGUCCGAUGAGGACGGCUUUUCCCCCGUGCAAGGAGCGGGGGGAAUAAGCGGGGGGCAAGUCUGGUGUCAGCCGCCGCGGUAAUACCAGCCCCGCGAGUGGUCGGGGCGUUUACUGGGCCUAAAGCGCCCGUAGCCGGCCCGGUAAGUCACCCCUGAAAUCCACGGGCUCAACCCGUGGGCUGGGGGUGAUACUGCCGGGCUUGGGGGUGGGAGAGGCCGGGGGUACUCCCGAGGUAGGGGCGAAAUCCGAUAAUCUCGGGAGGACCACCAGUGGCGGAAGCGCCCGGCUGGAACACGCCCGACGGUGAGGGGCGAAAGCUGGGGGAGCAAACCGGGCCCAGGUCGGCGUUGCGUAAGAUUUAAUAUAUUGAAACACAGCAAAACGCCAUGGAGUGCGACAGACGCUCGGCUAUAGUUCUAUGGGCUACGACGGCUCACGUGUAUUAACCCCUCUUUUUGAUCCCUCUCAUCUUCACUUCACCUCACCAAGCCGACCUGGCCCGGGCUCAAAGGGGAUUAGAUACCCCUGUAGUCCCAGCUGUAAACGAUGCGGGCUAGCUGUUGGGCGGGCUUAGGGCCCGCCCAGUGGCGUAGGGAAGCCGUUAAGCCCGCCGCCUGGGGAGUACGGCCGCAAGGCUGAAACUUAAAGGAAAGGGAGGUUGGGAGCUGGGCGCAUAAACUUAAAUAGCUCUUUUAGGCUUCUAAGAUGUUGUGAUAUAAACGAGGAAUUAGUAUGCCUAGCAGGGAUCUCGCGAGAUGAAAUGAUGAUAAUUAGGCUUGUUUUUUGUCUUUAUUCUCUUUAUCUGUCCGCCCAGCUCCCACUUCCCCCUGAAUUGGCGGGGGGGUACCACAAGGGGUGGAGCCUGCGGCUCAAUUGGAGUCAACGC